rnacentral:lncRNA from 1 species
GAAGGAUGGAAUCACCAGGAAUCCCUCUUUCCAAUUCCGGGGGCAGCCAAACAGGGUGAUUUUGGAAAUUAAUUCCAAUUCCAGCAGAUUCUAAUGAAACAAACAGGCCCUGAGGUAAUGUAGACAUAGGAAUAAAACUUUUCCUACAUGACUCAGAUAAUCUCUUUUGUUUUAUAGGACAGAUACAUGUCAGAAAAAAAAUCAAGCUAUCUCCGAUCAAAUGCAAAUAAAUUCC